CCAGACUCCUACGGGAGGCAGCAGUGGGGAAUAUUGGGCAAUGGGCGCAAGCCUGACCCAGCAACGCCGCGUGAAGGAAGAAGGCUUUCGGGUUGUAAACUUCUUUUCUCAGGGACGAAGCAAGUGACGGUACCUGAGGAAUAAGCCACGGCUAACUACGUGCCAGCAGCCGCGGUAAUACGUAGGUGGCCAGCGUUAUCCGGAUUUACUGGGUGUAAAGGGAGCGUAGACGGCAAUACAAGCCGGAAGUGAAAUACCCGGGCUCAACCUGGGAACUGCUUUGGAAACUGUAUGGCUAGAGUGCUGGAGAGGUAAGCGGAAUUCCUAGUGUAGCGGUGAAAUGCGUAGAUAUUAGGAGGAACACCGGUGGCGAAGGCGGCCUGCUGGACUGCAACUGACGUUGAGGCCCGAAAGCGUGGGGAGCAAACAGGAUUAGAUACCCUGGUA
rnacentral:rRNA from 1 species